rnacentral:rRNA from 1 species
UACAGGGGGUGCAAGCGUUGUUCGGAAUUAUUGGGCGUAAAGCGCGUGUAGGCGGAUCGUUAAGUCUGGUGUGAAAUCCCUCGGCUCAACUGAGGACGUGCAUUGGAUACUGGCGACCUUGAGUCCUGGAGAGGGUAGCGGAAUUCCCAGUGUAGAGGUGAAAUUCGUAGAUAUUGGGAGGAACACCGGUGGCGAAGGCGGCUACCUGGACAGUGACUGACGCUGAGACGCGAAAGCAUGGGUAGCAAACAGG